rnacentral:rRNA from 1 species
UACGAAGGGGGCUAGCGUUGCUCGGAAUCACUGGGCGUAAAGGGUGCGUAGGCGGGUUUUUAAGUCAGGGUGAAAUCCUGGAGCUCAACUCCAGAACUGCCUUUGAUACUGAAGAUCUUGAGUCCGGGAGAGGUGAGUGGAACUGCGAGUGUAGAGGUGAAAUUCGUAGAUAUUCGCAAGAACACCAGUGGCGAAGGCGGCUCACUGGCCCGGUACUGACGCUGAGGCACGAAAGCGUGGGGAGCAAACAGG